rnacentral:rRNA from 1 species
GGAAGGGAUGUAUUUAUUAGAUUAAAAACCAAUGCCCUUCGGGGCUCUCUGGUGAUUCAUAAUAACUUCUCGAAUCGCACGGCCUUGCGCCGGCGAUGGUUCAUUCAAAUUUCUGCCCUAUCAACUUUCGACGGCUGGGUCUUGGCCAGCCAUGGUGACAACGGGUAACGGAGGGUUAGGGCUCGACCCCGGAGAAGGAGCCUGAGAAACGGCUACUACAUCCAAGGAAGGCGGCAGGCGCGCAAAUUACCCAAUCCCGACACGGGGAGGUAGUGACAAUAAAUACUGAUACAGGGCUCUUUCGGGUCUUGUAAUUGGAAUGAGUACAAUUUAAAUCCCUUAACGAGGAACAAUUGGAGGGCAAGUCUGGUGCCAGCAGCCGCGGUAAUUCCAGCUCCAAUAGCGUAUAUUAAAGUUGUUGCAGUUAAAAAGCUCGUAGUUGAACUUCGGGCCUGGCUGACCGGUCCGCCUCACCGCGUGCACUGGUCCGGCCGGGUCUUUCCUUCUGGCAAACCUCAUGCCCUUCACUGGGUGUGUUGGGGAACCAGGACUUUUACA